CUUGAAAUAAUUAUCAAAAACAAGUAUAUUAUUAGAGCGGCUCUGUAAAGGGUGCAUGUAGCAGUCCUCUUGUGUAGACUCGGGUCUUAUGCAAUGGAAAUCUGCGAACCGUGUCAGGUCGGGAACGAAGCAGCACUAAGUGGAACCUUCCAUGUGUUGUAAGGUUGCCUGUUUCUGCCAGGAGUAAACGUACAUGUAUCCUUUACAGAGUCGUUUUUUCCAG
rnacentral:misc_RNA from 1 species